rnacentral:rRNA from 2 species
CUCUUGGCCUAUUAACAUAAGAGGUACUGCCUGCCCAGUGACACCUGUUCAACGGCCGCGGUAUUAUGACCGUGCAAAGGUAGCGUAAUCACUUGUCUUUUAAAUAAAGACCAGUAUGAAUGGCGAAACGAGAGCCUAACUGUCUCCCCAAGCUAGUCAGUGAAAUUGAUAUCCCCGUGCAGAAGCGGGAAUACUCCUAC